AUGAAUUUAAUGCCCGGAAGCCAGAUGAAGUAAAUAUUUUUGAUGGAAUCACAAAGAACCAUCUUUUCAUGGGGAUAGUUGCAAUUACACUCGUUCUUCAGAUCAUUAUCAUCGAGUUUAUUGGGAAGUUUACGUCAACUGUAAAGCUGAAUUGGAAACAAUGGUUGGUUUCUGUUGCUAUUGGUUUUAUCAGUUGGCCUCUUGCUUUUGUUGGCAAAUUGAUACCCGUUCCGGAGACGCCCUUGCAUAAGUUCUUUCCUAGAUUUUCUCAGCAUAGAAAUCCUCAAAGUUGAUCAGAACAAAGGCACGAGGAUUUACAGCAUUGCCUUCAAACUUUCAAAUACAAAGUUAAUAGAUGUGGAUGUUUUUCCCCAUCCAUUUUUUGGGUUUAUAUAGCAUUGCACAAAUCUACACGGAUCUUUAUAUACAGGGUUUAUGAAGAAAGGAAAAGGGCGGCAGCCUCUUUUGAAGGAUUUUAUUUUUCUUUUUAUAUUUCUUUUCGGAAGUUUGAGAUGCUUUGUGCAUGGGAGUUACUCUUUUCACAAAUACUUGGGUUGCUUCUAACCUGGACACCAAAGACUCAAAAGGAGAAAAAUCAGCCCCCUUUUUUUUUUUUCUUUUGCAUUUGGAUUUUGUUUGUACCAUAGUUGUUAUAAUCGGAUCGGCUUGAUUGGUCAGACCAGUUUAAUCCAGAAUUAUACAACUAUGGUACAAACAAAAUCCAAAUGCAAAAGAAAAAAAAAAGGGGGCUGAUUUUUCUCCUUUUGAGUCUUUGGUGUCCAGGUUAGAAGCAACCCAAGUAUUUGUGAAAAGAGUAACUCCAUGCACAAAGCAUCUCAAACUUCCGAAAAGAAAUAUAAAAAGAAAAAUAAAAUCCUUCAAAAGAGGCUGCCGCCCUUUUCCUUUCUUCAUAAACCCUGUAUAUAAAGAUCCGUGUAGAUUUGUGCAAUGCUAUAUAAACCCAAAAAAUGGAUGGGGAAAAACAUCCACAUCUAUUAACUUUGUAUUUGAAAGUUUGAAGGCAAUGCUGUAAAUCCUCGUGCCUUUGUUCUGAUCAACUUUGAGGAUUUCUAUGCUGAGAAAAUCUAGGAAAGAACUUAUGCAAGGGCGUCUCCGGAACGGGUAUCAAUUUGGCAACAAAUGCAAGAGGCCAACUGAUAAAACCAAUAGCAACAGAAACCAACCAUUGUUUCCAAUUCAGCUUUACAGUUGACGUAAACUUCCCAAUAAACUCGAUGAUAAUGAUCUGAAGAACGAGUGUAAUUGCAACUAUCCCCAUGAAAAGAUGGUUCUUUGUGAUUCCAUCAAAAAUAUUUACUUCAUCUGGCUUCCGGGCAUUAAAUUCAU
rnacentral:misc_RNA from 1 species